UACGUAGGCGGGCUAAUAAGUCAGUGGUGAAAUCUCUCGGCUCAACCGGGAAACUGCCAUUGAUACUGUUAGUCUUGAGUUCGGUUGAGGUAGGCGGAAUGUGUAAUGUAGCGGUGAAAUGCUUAGAUAUUACACAGAACACCAAUUGCGUAGGCAGCUUACUAGACCGACACUGACGCUGAGGCACGAAAGUGUGGGGAGCGAACAGGAUUAGAUACCCUGGUAGUCC
rnacentral:rRNA from 1 species